CCCUUAGAUGUUCUGGGCGGCCCGCGCACUUCAAUGGCGUGUGCAGCGAGUGCCGAAGUAGAGUUUUCCGAGGUAUUCUUGCAAUGCUCGUUUUGAUGGGGAUAGACCCUUGCAACUGUUGGUUUUGAACGAGGAAUUCCUUGUAAGCAUGGUUUAUCAUCCGACGCUGAAUGCGUCCCUGCCCUUUGUACACACCGCCCGUCGCUCCUACCGAUGAGUCGUCCGGUGAAGUUCGUAGACCUCGUGAUCGCGGAUCACUGGGGGAAGCAAAAUGAACCUCGCGGUUUAGAGGAAGGAGAAGUCGUAACA
rnacentral:rRNA from 1 species